rnacentral:rRNA from 1 species
ACGCUGGCGGCAGGCCUAACACAUGCAAGUCGAGCGGAUGAAAGGAGCUUGCUCCUGGAUUCAGCGGCGGACGGGUGAGUAAUGCCUAGGAAUCUGCCUGGUAGUGGGGGACAACGUUUCGAAAGGAACGCUAAUACCGCAUACGUCCUACGGGAGAAAGCAGGGGACCUUCGGGCCUUGCGCUAUCAGAUGAGCCUAGGUCGGAUUAGCUAGUUGGUGAGGUAAUGGCUCACCAAGGCGACGAUCCGUAACUGGUCUGAGAGGAUGAUCAGUCACACUGGAACUGAGACACGGUCCAGACUCCUACGGGAGGCAGCAGUGGGGAAUAUUGGACAAUGGGCGAAAGCCUGAUCCAGCCAUGCCGCGUGUGUGAAGAAGGUCUUCGGGAUUGUAAAGCACUUUAAGUUGGGAGGAAGGGUUGUAGAUUAAUACUCUGCAAUUUUGACGUUACCGACAGAAUAAGCACCGGCUAACUCUGUGCCAGCAGCCGCGGUAAUACAGAGGGUGCAAGCGUUAAUCGGAAUUACUGGGCGUAAAGCGCGCGUAGGUGGUUUGUUAAGUUGGAUGUGAAAUCCCCGGGCUCAACCUGGGAACUGCAUCCAAAACUGGCAAGCUAGAGUAUGGUAGAGGGUGGUGGAAUUUCCUGUGUAGCGGUGAAAUGCGUAGAUAUAGGAAGGAACACCAGUGGCGAAGGCGACCACCUGGACUGAUACUGACACUGAGGUGCGAAAGCGUGGGGAGCAAAC